UACGGGGGGGGCAAGCGUUGUUCGGAAUUACUGGGCGUAAAGGGCGCGUAGGCGGCCUUCUAAGUCGGACGUGAAAUCCCUCGGCUCAACCGAGGAACUGCGUCUGAUACUGGAAGGCUUGAAUCCGGGAGAGGGAUGUGGAAUUCCAGGUGUAGCGGUGAAAUGCGUAGAUAUCUGGAGGAACACCGGUGGCGAAGGCGGCAUCCUGGACCAAUUCUGACGCUGAGGAGCGAAAGCCAGGGGAGCAAACGGG
rnacentral:rRNA from 1 species